AAUCAACGCUGGCGGCGUGCCUAACACAUGCAAGUCGAACGCGAAAGCCCCUUCGGGGGUAAGUAGAGUGGCGUCCGGGUGAGUAACACGUAGGUAAUCUACCUUCGGGUGGGGAAUAACUCGCCGAAAGGCGAGCUAAUACCGCAUAAUGCAGCGGCACCUAAUGGUGAUUAGUUGUUAAAGCGGGGGAUCGUAAGACCUCGCGCCUGAAGAGGAGCCUGCGGCAGAUUAGCUAGUUGGGAGGUAAUGGCUCACCAAGGCUUCGAUCUGUAGCUGGUCUGAGAGGACGGCCAGCCACACUGGCACUGACACACGGGCCAGACUCCUACGGGAGGCAGCAGUGGGGUAAUUUUGGACAAUGGGCGAAAGCCUGAUCCAGCAAUGCCGCGUGAGUGAUGAAGGCCUUAGGGUU
rnacentral:rRNA from 1 species